rnacentral:sRNA from 1 species
CUGCAGCCCGACUUGAGCGGAAAUCCUUUUUUGCUGGCACUCAAUUUCUAGGAAAUCUGGAAUGGUCUGCAAAAAAGAUUGGGAGCGGAAGGCGGAUUAAGC